UCCAACGGCCCUAAUUAUUUGUGGCGUGAGAGCCGCUAGAAGCUUCUAGGUGUAAGUGGCUCCUUCUCACUCCCAUUCAAAUACAGAUACUAUUUCUGCCUUUUCAUGUCUAUAUGAGAUAAGAGAGAGUGCAGAGGCAAAUUACACGUUUGUGCGUGAAUCUAACGGAAUUUCUUCAUAACCUCGUUCCUCUCUUCUGCGUUAGAUUCACGCACAAACUUGCCAUUUCCCUUUUCUUUAUUAUCUUUCAUUUCGUAAGCAGAACUUGCUUUCUUGCAUUCCACUUCCGAUUCGGAUUUCUCUCUUUACCGCUCCUCAAACGAUGAUGUCGAAGCUGGGUUUCUAGUUGCGCUGAGAUCUCUAGAGUAUCUCUAGUCCAAUGGGCAAGUUGAAGCCACAAAAGAGGUUAUCUUAAUGCAAUUGAGGAAGAGGCUAGACUUGGCUAAAGAUAGAUGACCACAACAUCUUUUGGAAAUGUUAUGGGCUUAUUAGUGUACUUUAUAAUCUUCUACUAAGGAAAUGCUCUUAAGCUUGGUAUAUAGCACGAAUGUUGUAAUACCUAUGGGGAUAGAUGAACCAUCAUCUCGGUAACAAGAAUACAAUGAAGACCAUAAUGAUGAUUGUCUUUCAUAUUGAUCUCGACUUGCUCACUAAAAUGAGGGAAAAACCUCAAAUAUGAGAAAGCUGAGAGAAUCUAGGAAAUACAACUCUAACUUGAAGUCGAGAUUUUUCCAAAAGGGAGACUUGUUAUGGUGCAUGGGUAGCAACGCUAAGAAGUUCUUUGUGAACUGGGAAGGACCAUUCAGAAUAGUUGAAGAUGCCAACAAGGAAUACUUGUUGAGACAUCCUAUACCUGAUACUUGGAAUGUAAUCCAUUUGAAAUUAUAUUUUAACUAAUGCUUGUAAUCUAUAAUGUACUAUUUUUAAUUGGUCUUUUUUUCUUAAAAGAGAGUUUUCUAUCAAGAAUGUUUUAACGAAACACUUGUUCCUUGUUAGCAACCUAAUCAGUCUUGGUUGAACUUAAUCUUUAGUUUCCUACCAACAACCUAAUCGGUGUAGGAUGAAAAACACUUCAAUAAUUUUUUGUUGACUACCAUUCCAGUAUUUUAGAAAAAUCUCAAAGUCCUUUGUCGACGUAUAUGUUGACCUUGAUUGAAUAAAGAAUAAUACAAAUCUAAAUUACUUAAAGUUA